CCAGUUCUACGGAACAACUGAGGGAAACUUCAGCUAAUACCGUAUACGCCCUACGGGGGAAAGAUUUAUCGGAAUUGGAUGAGCCCGCGUAAGAUUAGCUAGUUGGUGGGGUAAUGGCCUACCAAGGCGACGAUCUUUAGCUGGUCUGAGAGGAUGAUCAGCCACACUGGGACUGAGACACAGCCCAGACUCCUACGGGAGGCAGCAGUGGGGAAUAUUGGACAAUGGGCGCAAGCCUGAUCCAGCCAUGCCGCGUGAGUGAUGAAGGCCUUAGGGUUGUAAAGCUCUUUCAGUGGGGACGAUAAUGACGGUACCCACUAGAAGAAGCCCCGGCUAACUUCGUGCCAGCAGCCGCGGUAAUACAAUCACUAGUGAAUUC
rnacentral:rRNA from 1 species